rnacentral:rRNA from 1 species
AAACAACUCUCAGCAACGGAUAUCUUGGCUCUUGCAACGAUGAAGAACGCAGCGAAAUGCGAUACGUAGUGUGAAUUGCAGAAUUCCGCGAAUCAUCGAGUCUUUGAACGCAAGUUGCGCCCGAGGCUUGUCCAAGGGCAUUUCCGCUAGAGCGUCACCGCGCCCCCCCACCCACCAACCCGCUCUCCGCGAGCCGGGUCGAGUGAAAGUG